rnacentral:tRNA from 2 species
GCGGGCGUGGUGAAAUUGGCAGACACGCAGGAUUUAGGUUCCUGUGGGGAAACCCGUGGGGGUUCAAAUCCCUCCGCCCGCACCA